UACAGAGGGGGCAAGCGUUGUUCGGAAUUACUGGGCGUAAAGGGCGCGUAGGCGGCCUGUUAAGUCGAACGUGAAAUCCCCGGGCUCAACCUGGGAACUGCGUCUGAUACUGGAUGGCUUGAAUUCGGGAGAGGGAUGCAGAAUUCCAGGUGUAGCGGUGAAAUGCGUAGAUAUCUGGAGGAAUACCGGUGGCGAAGGCGGCAUCCUGGACCGAGAUUGACGCUGAUGAGCGAAAGCUAGGGGAGCAAACGGG
rnacentral:rRNA from 1 species